GACGAGUGGCGGACGGGUGAGUAAUGUCUGGGAAACUGCCCGAUGGAGGGGGAUAACUACUGGAAACGGUAGCUAAUACCGCAUAACGUCUUCGGACCAAAGUGGGGGACCUUCGGGCCUCACACCAUCGGAUGUGCCCCAGAUGGGAUUAGCUAGUAGGUGGGGUAAUGGCUCACCUAGGCGACGAUCCCUAGCUGGUCUGAGAGGAUGACCAGCCACACUGGAACUGAGACACGGUCCAG
rnacentral:rRNA from 1 species